rnacentral:rRNA from 1 species
CAAUAGCGUAUAUUUAAGUUGUUGCAGUUAAAAAGCUCGAAGUUGGAUUUCGGAUGGGAUUUGCCGGUCCGUCGUUACGAUGUGCACUGGCCAGUCCUAUCUUGUUGUCGGGGACUAGCUCCUUGGAUUCACUUCCUGGGACUAGGAGCUGACGAGGUUACUUUGAGUAAAUUAGAGUGUUCAAAGCAAGCCUACGCUCUGAAUACAUUAGCAUGGAAUAACACGAUAGGACUCUGGCUUAUCUUGUUGGUCUGUGAGACCAGAGUAAUGAUUAAGAGGGACAGUCGGGGACAUUCGUAUUUCAUUGUCAGAGGUGAAAUUCUUGGAUUUAUGAAAGACGAACUUCUGCGAAAGCAUUUGUCAAGGAUGUUUUCAUUA